rnacentral:rRNA from 1 species
AGAGUUUGAUCAUGGCUCAGAUUGAACGCUGGCGGCGUGCCUUACACAUGCAAGUCGAACGGCAGCACGGGGGCAACCCUGGUGGCGAGUGGCGAACGGGUGAGUAAUACAUCGGAACGUGCCCGGUAGUGGGGGAUAGCCCGGCGAAAGCCGGAUUAAUACCGCAUACGACCUACGGGUGAAAGCGGGGGACCGCAAGGCCCCGCGCUAUCGGAGCGGCCGAUGUCGGAUUAGCUUGUUGGUGGGGUAAAGGCCUACCAAGGCGACGAUCCGUAGCUGGUCUGAGAGGACGACCAGCCACACUGGGACUGAGACACGGCCCAGACUCCUACGGGAGGCAGCAGUGGGGAAUUUUGGACAAUGGGCGCAAGCCUGAUCCAGCCAUGCCGCGUGCGGGAAGAAGGCCUUCGGGUUGUAAACCGCUUUUGUCAGGGAAGAAACGCUCCGGGCUAAUAUCCUGGAGUAAUGACGGUACCUGAAGAAUAAGCACCGGCUAACUACGUGCCAGCAGCCGCGGUAAUACGUAGGGUGCGAGCGUUAAUCGGAAUUACUGGGCGUAAAGCGUGCGCAGGCGGUUGUGCAAGACAGGUGUGAAAUCCCCGGGCUUAACCUGGGAACUGCAUUUGUGACUGUGCGACUGGAGUGUGGCAGAGGGGGAUGGAAUUCCGCGUGUAGCAGUGAAAUGCGUAGAUAUGCGGAGGAACACCGAUGGCGAAGGC